rnacentral:rRNA from 1 species
GACCAACGCUGGCGGCGUGCUUAACACAUGCAAGUCGAACGGAAAGGCCCUGCUUUUGUGGGGUGCUCGAGUGGCGAACGGGUGAGUAACACGUGAGUAACCUGCCCUUGACUUUGGGAUAACUUCAGGAAACUGGGGCUAAUACCGGAUAGGAGCUCCUGCUGCAUGGUGGGGGUUGGAAAGUUUCGGCGGUUGGGGAUGGACUCGCGGCUUAUCAGCUUGUUGGUGGGGUAGUGGCUUACCAAGGCUUUGACGGGUAGCCGGCCUGAGAGGGUGACCGGCCACAUUGGGACUGAAAUACGGCCCAGACUCCUACGGGAGGCAGCAGUGGGGAAUAUUGCACAAUGGGCGGAAGCCUGAUGCAGCAACGCCGCGUGCGGGAUGACGGCCUUCUGGUUGUAAACCGCUUUCGCCUGUGACGAAGCGUGAGUGACGGUAAUGGGUAAAGAAGCACCGGCUAACUACGUG